rnacentral:rRNA from 1 species
GCUCGUAGUUGGAUUUUGGUUAAGAGGGCGCGGUCGGCCGUUUGGUCUGUACUGCGUUGUCUUGACUUCCUGAUGAGGACAUGCUCUUGGUUAACGCUGAGACAUGGAGUCAUCGUGGUUACUUUGAAAAAAUUAGAGUGUUCAAAGCGGGCUUACGCUUGAAUAUAUUAGCAUGGAAUAAACACUAUAGGACUCCUGUCCUAUCUCGUUGGUCUCGGGAUGGGAGUAAUGAUUAAGAGGAACAGUUGGGGGCAUUCGUAUUUCAUUGUCAGAGGUGAAAUUCUUGGAUUUAUGAAAGACGAACUUCUGCGAAAGCAUUUGCCAAGGAUGUUUUCAUUAAUCAAGAACGAAAGUUGGGGGCUCGAAGAUGAUUAGAUACCAUCCUAGUCUCAACCAUAAACGAUGCCGACUAGGGUUGGUGGAUGUUAAUUGAUGACUUCACCAGCACCUUAUGAGAAAUCAAAGUUUUUGGGUUCCGGGGGGAGUAUGGUCGCAAGGCUGAAACUUAAAGGAAUUGACGGAAGGGCACCACCAGGCGUGGAGCCUGCGGCUUAAUUUGACUCAACACGGGGAAACUUACCAGGUCCAGACAUAAGUAUGAUUGACAGAUUGAGAGCUCUUUCUUGAUUCUA